GACGAACGCUGGCGGCGUGCUUAACACAUGCAAGUCGAACGAAGUGGCGAACGGGUGAGUAACACAUGGGUAACCUGCCCUCAUUUUUGGGAUAAGCUUUGGAAACGGGGUCUAAUACCUAAUAAAGGGGGAUGGGCUCGUGGCCUAUCAGCUUGUUGGUGGGGUGAUGGCCUACCUAGGCGGUGACGGGUAGCUGGCCUGAGAGGGUGACCGGCCACGUUGGGACUGAGAUACGGCCCAGGCUCGUACGGGAGGGAGCAGUGGGGGAUAUUGGACAAUGGGCGAAAGAGGGAUGCAGCGACGCCGCGUGGGGGAUGAGGGCUUUCGAGUUGUAAACCUAUUUCGCUAUAGAACGGGUAGGUGGUGAGGAAGCUCCGGCUAACUACGUGCCAGCAGCCGCGGUAAUUC
rnacentral:rRNA from 1 species